rnacentral:rRNA from 2 species
UCCGGGAAACCGGAGCUAAUACCGGGUAAUACAUCGCACCGCAUGGUGCAAUGUUGAAAGUUGGCUUUCGAGCUAACACUGCAGGAUGGGCCCGCGGCGCAUUAGCUAGUUGGUAAGGUAAUGGCUUACCAAGGCGACGAUGCGUAGCCGACCUGAGAGGGUGAUCGGCCACACUGGGACUGAGACACGGCCCAGACUCCUACGGGAGGCAGCAGUAGGGAAUCUUCCGCAAUGGACGAAAGUCUGACGGAGCAACGCCGCGUGAGUGACGAAGGCCUUCGGGUCGUAAAGCUCUGUUGUUAGGGAAGAACAAGUACCGUUCGAAUAGGGCGGUACCUUGACGGUACCUAACCAGAAAGCCACGGCUAACUACGUGCCAGCAGCCGCGGUAAUACGUAGGUGGCAAGCGUUGUCCGGAAUUAUUGGGCGUAAAGCGCGCGCAGGCGGUCUUUUAAGUCUGAUGUGAAAGCCCACGGCUCAACCGUGGAGGGUCAUUGGAAACUGGAGGACUUGAGUGCAGAAGAGGAGAGUGGAAUUCCACGUGUAGCGGUGAAAUGCGUAGAUAUGUGGAGGAACACCAUUGGCGAAGGCGGCUCUCUGGUCUGUAACUGACACUGAGGCG